rnacentral:rRNA from 1 species
AGCGAACGCUGGCGGCAGGCCUAACACAUGCAAGUCGAACGAACUCUUCGGAGUUAGUGGCGGACGGGUGAGUAACACGUGGGAACGUGCCUUUUGGUUCGGAAUAACUCAGGGAAACUUGUGCUAAUACCGAAUGUGCCCUUCGGGGGAAAGAUUUAUCGCCAUUAGAGCGGCCCGCGUCUGAUUAGCUAGUUGGUGAGGUAACGGCUCACCAAGGCGACGAUCAGUAGCUGGUCUGAGAGGAUGACCAGCCACACUGGGACUGAGACACGGCCCAGACUCGUACGGGAGGCAGCAGUGGGGAAUCUUGCGCAAUGGGCGAAAGCCUGACGCAGCCAUGCUGCGUGAAUGAUGAAGGUCUUAGGAUUGUAAAAUUCUUUCACCGGGGACGAUAAUGACGGUACCCGGAGAAGAAGCCCCGGCUAACUUCGUG